rnacentral:rRNA from 1 species
GAUGAACGCUGGCGGCGUGCUUAACACAUGCAAGUCGAACGAAUCUCUUUAUUUGAUUUCCUUCGGGACUGAUUAUUUUGUGAUUGAGUGGCGGACGGUUGAGUAACGCGUGGGUAACCUGCCUUGUACAGGGGGAUAACAGUUGGAAACGUCUGCUAAUACCGCAUAAUCUCACAGCAUCGCAUGAUGCAGUGUGAAAAACUCCGGUGGUAUAAUAUGGACCCGCGUUGGAUUAGCUAGUUUGUGAGGUAACGGCCCACCAAGGCGACGAUCCAUAGCCGGGCAGAGAGGGUGAGCGGCGACAUUGGGAGUGGGACACGGUACAAAAUCCUACGGGAGGCAGGAGUGGGGAAUAGUGCAAAAUGGGCGAAAGGAAGAAGGAGCGACGACGGGUGAGCGAAGAAGUAAUACAGUAUGUAAAGCUCUAUCAGCAGGGAAGAUAAUGACGGUACCUAACUAGGAAGCAACGGCUAAAUACGUG